GACGAACGCUGGCGGCGUGCUUAACACAUGCAAGUCGAACGGUAAGGCCCUUCGGGGUACACGAGUGGCGAACGGGUGAGUAACACGUGGGUGAUCUGCCCUGCACUUCGGGAUAAGCCUGGGAAACUGGGUCUAAUACCGGAUAGGACCACUGCCUGCAUGGGUGGUGGUGGAAAGCUUUUGCGGUGUGGGAUGGGCCCGCGGCCUAUCAGCUUGUUGGUGGGGUGAUGGCCUACCAAGGCGACGACGGGUAGCCGGCCGGAGAGGGUGACCGGCCAAACUGGGACUGAGAUACGGCCCAGACUCCGACGGGAGGCAGGAGGGGGGAAUAUUGCACAAGGGGCGCAAGCCUGAUGCAGCGACGCCGCGUGAGGGAUGACGGCCUUCGGGUUGUAAACCUCUUUCAGCACCGACGAAGCGCAAGUGACGGUAGGUGCAGAAGAAGGACCGGCCAACUACGUGCCAGCAGCCGCAGUAA
rnacentral:rRNA from 1 species